UACGUAGGGGGCAAGCGUUGUCCGGAUUCAUUGGGCGUAAAGAGCGCGUAGGCGGCCCGGUAAGUGGGGUGUGAAAACCCGGGGCUCAACCCCGGGCCUGCAGUCGAUACGGGCAGACUAGAGUGCGGUAGGGGAGACUGGAAUUCCUGGUGUAGCGGUGAAAUGCGCAGAUAUCAGGAGGAACACCGGUGGCGAAGGCGGGUCUCUGGGCCGAUACUGACGCUGAGGAGCGAAAGCGUGGGGAGCGAACAGG
rnacentral:rRNA from 1 species